GCCGGCAGCUAGCUCUCUGCAACUCUCACAUGGUCGCCCACUAAAGCUAAGCAGGGCUGCGCCCUGUCAAUACCUGGAUGGGAGACCACAUGGGAAAGCUAGGUUGCUGCCGGAA
rnacentral:rRNA from 1 species